CCAAAGGCUCUUUUAAGAGCCACCCCCCAGAGCUCAGCAGAGGGGCU
rfam:Anas platyrhynchos breed Pekin duck contig128658, whole genome shotgun sequence.